rnacentral:rRNA from 1 species
UAAACCUGGUUGAUCCUGCCAGUAGUCAUACGCUUGUCUCAAAGAUUAAGCCAUGCAUGUCUAAGUAUAAGCACUUAUACCGUGAAACUGCGAAUGGCUCAUUAUAUCAGUUAUAGUUUAUUUGAUAGUCCCUACUACUUGGAUAACCGUAGUAAUUCUAGAGCUAAUACAUGCGCCAAGUCCUGACUGCUUUG